rnacentral:rRNA from 1 species
AGCUUAACUAUCGCAGUGCCUUUGAUACUGCAGGGCUUGAAUGUACUUGAGGUAGGCGGAAUGUGACAAGUAGCGGUGAAAUGCAUAGAUAUGUCACAGAACACCAAUUGCGAAGGCAGCUUACUAAAGUAUGAUUGACGCUGAGGCACGAAAGCGUGGGGAUCAAACAGGAUUAGAUACCCUGGUAGUCCACGCCCUAAACGAUGAAUACUCGAUGUUGGCGAUAUACAGUCAGCGUCAAAGCGAAAGCGUUAAGUAUUCCACCUGGGGAGUACGCCCGCAAGGGUGAAACUCAAAGGAAUUGACGGGGGCCCGCACAAGCGGAGGAGCAUGUGGUUUAAUUCGAUGAUACGCGAGGAACCUUACC